rnacentral:rRNA from 1 species
UGGGGAAUCUUGGACAAUGGGCGCAAGCCUGAUCCAGCCAUGCCGCGUGAGUGAAGAAGGCCUUAGGGUUGUAAAGCUCUUUCGGCGGGGACGAUAAUGACGGUACCCGCAGAAGAAGCCCCGGCUAACUCCGUGCCAGCAGCCGCGGUAAUACGGAGGGGGCUAGCGUUGUUCGGAAUUACUGGGCGUAAAGCGCACGUAGGCGGACUGUUAAGUCGGGGGUGAAAUCCUGGGGCUCAACCUCAGAAUUGCCUCCGAUACUGGCAGUCUCGAGUGCGGGAGAGGUGAGUGGAAUUCCCAGUGUAGAGGUGAAAUUCGUAGAUAUUGGGAAGAACACCAGUGGCGAAGGCGGCUCACUGGCCCGUAACUGACGCUGAGGUGCGAAAGCGUGGGGAGCAAACA